rnacentral:rRNA from 1 species
ACGAACGCUGGCGGCGUGCUUCACACAUGCAAGUCGAACGGAAAGGCCCUGCUUUUGUGGGGUGCUCGAGUGGCGAACGGGUGAGUAACACGUGAGUAACCUGCCCUUGACUUUGGGAUAACUUCAGGAAACUGGGGCUAAUACCGGAUAGGAGCUCCUGCUGCAUGGUGGGGGUUGGAAAGUUUCGGCGGUUGGGGAUGGACUCGCGGCUUAUCAGCUUGUUGGUGGGGUAGUGGCUUACCAAGGCUUUGACGGGUAGCCGGCCUGAGAGGGUGACCGGCCACAUUGGGACUGAGAUACGGCCCAGACUCCUACGGGAGGCAGCAGUGGGGAAUAUUGCACAAUGGGCGGAAGCCUGAUGCAGCAACGCCGCGUGCGGGAUGACGGCCUUCGGGUUGUAAACCGCUUUCGCCUGUGACGAAGCGUGAGUGACGGUAAUGGGUAAGGAAGCACCGGCUAACUACGUG